GUUGACCCUUGGUUUAGAGUUUUGUCAUGCUCAGUGAGAUCAAGAUCCACACCAUCCACAUACAUCUGCUGCUCCUACACUGGGAGUAUGCAACAUUCCAUACCAUUCCAUUCCAUCCCACCAAAUAUAGAUGCUCCAUGCUCUAAGUGUAGAAUCUCUCUCUAAUAGCCAAAUGUUAGAUGAGACACAAAGCAAAGGCUAUAGAAAAAUAAUCACCUUGUUAGGAAGAACAUCAUCGAGUCCUUAAAAAAAGAGAGAGAAAAAUGCUAGCCUUGUCUUAAUAGAAAAAGAAUAGAGAGAGCACAAUCAAAUAAAGGAGUCAUCUAGCCAUCAUACUCAUACCAUCUUUCCACAUAUAUAUCUUGAUCUCGAGCAUGACACUAUUCUUCCUCUA
rnacentral:lncRNA from 1 species